CCAAGGAGUCUAACAUGUCCGCGAGUCAUUGGGACCGCAAAACCUAAAGGCGAAAUGAAAGUGAAGGUCGACCUUGCGUCGACUGAGGGAGGAUGGGUUGCGUCUCGAUGCAGCCCCGCACUCCCGGGGCGUCUCGUACUCAUUGCGAGUAGAGGCGCACCCAGAGCGUACACGUUGGGACCCGAAAGAUGGUGAACUAUGCCUGGCCAGGACGAAGUCAGGGGAAACCCUGAUGGAGGUCCGUAGCGAUUCUGACGUGCAAAUCGAUCGUAGGAGCUGGGUAUAGGGGCGAAAGACUAAUCGAACCAUCUAGUAGCUGGUUCCCUCCGAAGUUUCCCUCAGGAUAGCUGGCACUCGCGUGGAGCGAGUCUCAUCUGGUAAAGCGAAUGAUUAGAGGCCUUGGGGCCGAAACGACCUCAACCUAUUCUCAAACUUUAAAUGGGUGAGAUCUCUGGCUUGCUUGAACAGUGAAGCCACGAGAUUUUUCGGAUCAGAGUGCCAAGUGGGCCAAUUUU
rnacentral:rRNA from 1 species